rnacentral:miRNA from 18 species
UCAAUUCCGUAGUGCAUUGCAGU